rnacentral:pre_miRNA from 1 species
AGUGGGAUUUCUGGAUUCUAUGGUAAUCCAAUGUUUGAUUUUUUGAGAAAUUGACAAAAUGUUUUCCAUGGUGGCUCCACUAUUUUCACCAUUUUACAUUUCCAUAAGCAAU